CCAGGAGUCUAUAGCUCUGGUGUAAGACUAACAAAAAAGUGGGAAAGACUUUCAUUCUCCUUUGUUAGAGUAGGCCUACGGCAGUGUAUGGCACCUUCAUCACACAUGGGAGGCAUUCAAGGCACUGACGUGAAAGGUAGCACGAUUUUGCGCGCGCCUUAUAACCCCUCAUUGGUGAAAAGGGAUGGUCACAUGACAUUCGACAAUGCUUAUUGGGCAUAACGCCGUGCUUUUUCGCUUUGUCACUUAACGAACCCCUGACGACACUCAAUUCCAUAAGCCUGAGAAGAAUCGUCUGAAUCGAUGUUCCUGCUUGCCGGUAGGGGUCAGGUCGUCCGCCAGUGGAAGGUUCUUUACUUGGGUGUAUUAACGACUGUGUCAGUACCCGUACAGCUACAAGAGAGAGUUCUGCUCGUGACAUCAGGGACAAAGUCGACUUGGGAGUAAGGGCAAGGCCAGGGUGUAGAGAAGCCUCUGCUGGAUCUGUCAACAUCAUAAUUUUCUAUAGCCCUUCUCCGUGUGCCGUGAAUUAUUUCUUAAUUUUACUUUAAAGUUCAGGUGGAUUUAAAAAAAAAAUUGUGUGACCCCCUUUCCCUUAUGAAUAAAGGCCACUACACUGACAACAGUCAUGGCAUGGUAGAACCAUUUAUAUGGAAAGGGGUUCCAUAGAGAAAGUGACUGACGCGUACCCCCUCCUGUUUGCGAGGUUC